CAUUUUGCUUCUUUGUAUUUAUUUAUUCGUAGAGAAUUUCCCUAAGCAAUGUUCUGGAGAUACUCCUCAUUAAAACCAGGUCCAGCAACAUGGGAUCAUUGGCAACAUCUUUGGGAAAGAUGCUGCCUAGAGCUUGAGCUUCCAAUGACUUUCCAACGUUACCUGAGAGACAUAUAAAAAAGCUCUUCAGUUUCCUCAAGCCUAUCUGCCUGUACUGUCUGCUCUUUCUACUAAGGCGUCACCUUUGAAAGAUUUCAAGAAAGGAUUUUGGGACCCUAAAAGUGAAUAGGACCCCAAAAAUUAAUACACACUUAUGUACAGAUGCUAACCAAUCUCGAUCAACUUCAAUGA